AUAAAAGAAUAAACACCAUACCGUGCUCUUGGCUGGUGAGCGGCUGCAGGGUGCUCAGAACACUGAGACCGAGGAUCUUUCAUGGGAGCUCGGUGAAAAGCUUGCUUUGGUACCAGACAGAAUAACAGGUCCAAGUUCUCAAAGAUUUCCAAAUAGUUGUGCUAAAAAUAACCUUCCCGCUUAGUCCCAAAGAGCCAAAGGCCCUGGAAGUCAUUCAUCCAGCCAGGCUCAACUGAAGGACCAGUUAAAAUUAUGGUUUUAUUUGGGACAAACCCUGAGUUCCUGCUCCCCAUGACUGUACAGGGCCUCAGGGAGCCACGUGCCAUCCCAGGUCAUCAAGAUGAAGUUGGCUGGAAUCAUUUGGAAUCUGCUGGUCAAGUCCAGAUGUCUGUUUUAAGAGGGCCGCACAAAUCUUAGGAGGGAACAGACAGAAUCACGUGAGCCUCUACAAGCAGAGAGCUUCCUGCAGCUGGCGGUGGCACAGGCUGUCCGAGAGAUGUGAAGCAGAGGAUUCGAGGCAAGUGUACUCAGUGUGCGUUGUGAUUUUGAACCUGGAGGGGUCCACAUGAGAAGGAACGUGGGCAGUCUCUAGGAGACAAGUGAGCCGGCUCCCAGCCAGCGGAGAAGGAAGCAUCUCAGUUCUGCAAUGUGAGGCAGUAAAAAUAAAUUCUGCCAGCAACCUCAAUAAGCCUGACACCGAUUUCUCUGCAAGGCCUUCAGACAAGAGCCCAGCUUGGCCAACACCCUGAUUUCAUAUUUGUAAGAUUCUUGAGUACAGAAACCAGCCAACUCUUAAUCCAUACUGCUCCCAACACUGACCUACUGAACCGCAAGCUAAUAAAUAGUGUUGUAUCC